AGCCCCUGGAUGUCGAUCUCAUGCGCGUCAGUAGAUCAACUCCAACUUUCCUCAUUUUCUAAAUACAUGAAGCCGUCACUUUCACACUUGAUUAAUAACAAAUGGGCUGUUGUCUGCCAGGACGUGCUUGCCAAAUACGAGAGGAAAAACCGCUCCAUGUUCAACAUGAUGGUUCGUCGUCUUGCAGGUUUUUAUGGCGUAUAUGCGCUCAUCUUGUCAUUAUUUUAAAACACAUAUUUCAUAAAUACAUACUUAAUACAUAAAUAAUGUAACGGCACUUGUGUUGUUCCGUGAGUUUUUUGUAAUUUACCAAAUAAUUUGCUGUUGUAGAAUCUUGUGAUUGUACUCGACAUUCUUGGAAAUUGCUAAGUGGGAAGGUUGUCGGGAUGGUGACAAUUUACCAAGCAAAGACAUAAUGUACGUGCAACGCUCGUGGGCCCUUACAAAGACCACGAGGAAAGCAAAAGUAGUACAACAAUGAUCACUUAUGGUUAUUCCAUUUUCGAGAGUGAGACUGAAGGUAGACUACUAAUUUUUAGGAAAUUAACUUCCUACAGGUGUUAAGUAGUAGGCUACGUUUGCUCGGCCAUUUUCAAGGAAGAAGACGGGGAAAACAGCCCUGCUAUUUUUUUCCUAUUCAACCCCAGAUCCCUAAACACUGACAGAUUAAGACCACAUGGAGCACGCCAAAUCCACGUGGACCAGUGGUUGUAAUCUCUUAUCAUCCCAACAGAUAUAUUUCUUGACUGGAAUAUAUAUCCACUUAUCUCAUUCUGUGUGACAUAUCCUGUGAUAUGAUUUGAUAUUCCAUCUGCGAUCUGAUUCUGUGUAUGGUGUAGCCUACCAGCAAUAACAAAACUACCAACACCACCAACAUUAUUAUUAUUAUUAUUAUUAUUAUUAUUAUUAUUAAUAAUAAUAAUAAUAAUAAUAAUAAUAAUAAUAUUAUUAAUGCACGCCAUCAGUAAACUAUUUUAUGAGUCAUCUCUUUUCUGACCAAUUUUCUGCCGGUCAUUUCCUGAAAUUAAUACAAUUAUCUUGUUGCAUAUACAUUAGCCCACAAACCGGCUGCUGAAGAGUUGUUAAAACACUACUCGUAUAUUACUGUUCAUUCUCCUGUGACUGAGGCAAUGAGAAUAUUUAUUGAGUCCAAGGUUUUAUGAAUAUACACGUCUUCUAGUGAAUAUCUCCAGGAUGGAUUUUUUUUUCUCGCUUUGGAUAGUUCAAAUCUCCGGUAAGCCGAAAGGGAUCGCUGUAGGCGCUGCUAAAAACUAUGUGUGCACAUGGUCACGUGUUGUGACGCUCGACGAGCCUCUUGAGAGAGAAGAAUAAUGACGUUGCUCCACACUGGGCCAAUGCAGAGUCUGGAAAGUGAAAAAAGCCAGUAGGCUACAUGAAGAAAUAAUAAUGAUGGUGACAAUGACACUACAAGCCCUACUUUUACACUUCUGUAAGCUGCAAUUGACAAGUAAUGCUUUUAUUUUCUGAAAUUGCACCAGUUCUAAUUAGUUGGCUAUGACAGUGACAAUUGUAGGAUCAGUAAAUCUAAUAGUAACCAGAGCCCAAAGUCUCAUUAUGAUCAUAUCAUCAGCAUCAUUAUUAUCGGCUGUAGACAGCAGCAAGCUCACAACAGUAGCCGAAACACAUUUUAAAUAGAUAGAGUAAUAUUUAAGCAGAGAUGACUAAUUCCCACAAUGGUGCAGCGAAUUCUAUUUUGUCCACGAGUUAACUCACAUUCUGUCUGUCACUGGCCAAUUAUGAUUGCUGUUCUUUUUAAAGGACGUUGGAAAUGUACGAUGCCCCGCUGCGGUUUAAUAUAGUUCCAAGGGAUACCUUAAGGGGAAAGGAUUUCACUGACGUCAAUACUCAUUGAUAGUGUGUUAUUGGCAAUAAUGAUUUCCUCGUCACCGAUAGCGCUUGAUAGGGGAACUAUUGGGCAAGUGUAGCGGGAGGUGAAUUAAAUCGCAUGGAAUGGGACACACGGGGAGGACUGCUAUCCUCUCUCACUUUGACGGAGAAGAUCAGGAUCCCUAUCAACAAUCCAGCACAUGACACGACCCCCUCAGCAUCUCACCGUGGGGGCACUCGCACCGUGGAGACACCUGCCACACAGGCUGGUCCGGCGGAGGCUGACAUGGGGAGGCCAGGUGGAGGAACUCCCCUCCUAAUGCUUCACACCUGCCAGGGCUUUGGAGAGGAUUCACCUCCAGGUUUCUGUCUUCCUGUCGCUCGGGCUUUGAGAGGCCCCUCAGAUUUUCCUCUGAUCCGGACCCAUGCAAACCAAGUUCAGGCGCG
ensembl:lncRNA